UCUGGUGGAUGGGCUUAUGGCGCAUUAGUUAGUUGGUGAGGUAACGGCCCACCAAGACGAUGAUGCGUAGCCGGACUGAGAGGUUGAACGGCCACAUUGGGACUGAGAGACGGCCCAGACUCCUACGGGAGGCAGCAGUAGGGAAUUUUCGGCAAUGGGCGGAAGCCUGACCGAGCAACGCCGCGUGAGUGAUGAAGUUUUUCGGAAUGUAAAGCUCUGUUGCGCGGGACGAAUGGAGAGGGAGGACCCUCUUGUGACGGUACCGCGCGAGGAAGCCACGGCUAACUACGUGCCAGCAGCCGCGGUAAUACGUAGGUGGCGAGCGUUAUCCGGAAUUAUUGGGCGUAAAGGGUGCGCAGGCGGCCUUUUAAGUUCAAGGUGAAAGCGUGGGGCUCAACCCCAUAAAGCCUUGGAUACUGGGAGGCUGGAGUACUGGAGAGGACAGCGGAAUUCCAUGUGUAGCGGUAAAAUGCGUAGAUAUAUGGAGGAACACCGGAGGCGAAGGCGGCUGUCUGGACAGUAACUGACGCUGAGGCACGAAAGCGUGGGGAGCAAAUAGGAUUAGAUACCCUAGUAGUCCACGCUGUAAACGAUGAAUACUAAGUGUUGGGGAGACCCAGUGCUGCAACAAACGCAAUAAGUAUUCCGCCUGUGGAGUAUGCACGCAAGUGUGAAACAUAAAGGAAUUGACGGGGGCCCGCACAAGCGGUGGAGUAUGUGGUUUAAUUCGACGCAACGCGAAGAACCUUACCAGGCCUUGACAUCCCCUGCGAAACUGUAGAGAUACAGCAGAGGUUAUCAGGGAGACAGGUGGUGCAUGGUUGUCGUCAGCUCGUGUCGUG
rnacentral:rRNA from 1 species